rnacentral:rRNA from 1 species
GACGAACGCUGGCGGCGUGCUUAACACAUGCAAGUCGAACGGAAAGGCCCUGCUUUUGUGGGGUGCUCGAGUGGCGAAGGGGUGUGUAACACGUGUGUAACCUGCCCUUGACUUUGGGAUAACUUCAGGAAACUGGGGCUAAUACCGGAUAGGAGCUCCUGCUGCAUGGUGGGGGUUGGAGAGUUUCGGCGGUUGGGGAUGGACUCGCGGCUUAUCAGCUUGUUGGUGGGGUAGUGGCUUACCAAGGCUUUGACGGGUAGCCGGCCUGAGAGGGUAACCGGCCACAUUGGGACUAAGGUACGGCCCAGACUCCUACGGGAGGCAGCAGGGGGGAAUAUGGCACAAUGGGCGGAAGCCUGAUGCAGCAACGCCGCGUGCGGGAUGACGGCCUUCGGGUUGUAAACCGCUUUCGCCUGUGACGAAGCGUGAGUGACGGUAAUGGGUAAAGAAGCACCGGCUAACUACGUG